UGGGGAAUAUUGGACAAUGGGCGCAAGCCUGAUCCAGCAAUGCCGCGUGAGUGAUGAAGGCCUUAGGGUUGUAAAGCUCUUUCGCACGCGACGAUGAUGACGGUAGCGUGAGAAGAAGCCCCGGCUAACUUCGUGCCAGCAGCCGCGGUAAUACGAAGGGGGCUAGCGUUGUUCGGAAUUACUGGGCGUAAAGGGCGCGUAGGCGGCCUGUUUAGUCAGAAGUGAAAGCCCCGGGCUCAACCUGGGAAUAGCUUUUGAUACUGGCAGGCUUGAGUUCCGGAGAGGAUGGUGGAAUUCCCAGUGUAGAGGUGAAAUUCGUAGAUAUUGGGAAGAACACCGGUGGCGAAGGCGGCCAUCUGGACGGACACUGACGCUGAGGCGCGAAAGCGUGGGGAGCAAACAGAUUAGAUACCCUGGUAGUCCACGCCGUAAACGAUGAAUGCUAGACGUCGGGGUGCAUNCACUUCGGUGUCGCCGCUAACGCAUUAAGCAUUCCGCCUGGGGAGUACGGCCGCAAGGUU
rnacentral:rRNA from 1 species